UACGUAGGGGGCGAGCGUUGUCCGGAUUUAUUGGCGUAAAACGCUUGUAGGCGGCCACCGCGCGUCGGACGUGAAUCUCCCGGCUCAACUGGGAGGGUCGUGCCGAUACGGCGGGGCUCGAGGCCGGUAGGGGACGCGGAAUUCCCGGUGUGAGUGGUGGAAUGCGUAGAUAUCAGGAGGAACACCAAUGGCGAAGGCAGCUCGCUGGGACGUGACUGACGCUGAGACGCGAAGCGUGGGGAGCAAACAGG
rnacentral:rRNA from 1 species